AAUCAACGCUGGCGGCGUGCCUCAGACAUGCAAGUCGAACGAUUAAGACUUCCUUCGGGAAGUGUAUAAAGUGGCGCACGGGUGAGUAACACGUAAGUAAUCUACCUUCGAGUGGGGAAUAACAUCGGGAAACCGAUGCUAAUACCGCAUAAUGCAGCGGCAUCGCAAGAUGACAGUUGUUAAAGGAGCAAUUCGCUUGAAGAGGAGCUUGCGGCAGAUUAGCUAGUUGGUAAGGUAAUGGCUUACCAAGGCUACGAUCUGUAUCCGGUCUAAGAGGACGGUCGGACACACUGACACUGAAUAACGGGUCAGACUCCUACGGGAGGCAGCAGUCGGGAAUUUUGGGCAAUGGGCGAAAGCCUGACCCAGCAACGCCGCGUGAGGGAUGAAGUAUUUCGGUAUGUAAACCUCGAAAGAAUGGGAAGAAUAAAUGACGGUACCAUUUAUAAGCUCCGGCUAACUACGUGCCAGCCGCCGCAGUAACAC
rnacentral:rRNA from 1 species